rnacentral:tRNA from 1 species
GGACAUGUGGCUCAGUGGUAGAGCGCUUGCCUAACAUGCAUGAGGCCCUGGGUUUGAUUCCUCAGUACCA